AGGACGAACGCUGGCGGCGUGCCUAACACAUGCAAGUCGAACGAAGCACUUCAAAUGAGAUUCGUCAAGUUUGGAUUUGACUUAGUGGCGGACGGGUGAGUAAUACAUGAGCAACCUGCCCUGGAGUGGGGAACAACAGUUGGAAACGACUGCUAAUACCGCAUAAUGUUGCCGGAGGGCAUCCUCUGGCAACCAAAGAUUUAUCGCUUUGGGAUGGGCUCAUGUCUGAUUAGCUAGUUGGUGGGGUAACGGCCCACCAAGGCUGCGAUCAGUAGCCGGACUGAGAGGUUGAACGGCCACAUUGGGACUGAGAUACGGCCCAGACUCCUACGGGAGGCAGCAGUGGGGAAUAUUGGGCAAUGGGCGAAAGCCUGACCCAGCAACGCCGCGUGAAGGAAGAAGGCCUUCGGGUUGUAAACUUCUUUUAUGAGGGACGAAGGAAGUGACGGUACCUCAUGAAUAAGCCACGGCUAACUACGUGCCAGCAGCUGC
rnacentral:rRNA from 1 species